CAAUAGCGUAUAUUUAAGUUGCUGCAGUUAAAAAGCUCGUAGUUGGAUUUCGGGUGGGAAUGGCCGGUCCGCCGUUUCGGUGUGCACUUGCUACGCCCACCUUGCUGCCGGGGACGUGCUCUUGAGUUCACGCUCGGGACACGGAGUCGGCGAGGUUACUUUGAGUAAAUUAGAGUGUUCAAAACAGGCCUACGCUCUGAAUACAUUAGCAUGGAAUAACACGAUAGGACUCUGGCCUAUCUUGUUGGUCUGUAGGACCGGAGUAAUGAUUAAGAGGGACAGUCGGGGGCAUUCGUAUUUCAUUGUCAGAGGUGAAAUUCUUGGAUUUAUGAAAGACGAACUACUGCGAAAGCAUUUGCCAAGGAUGUUUUCAUUAA
rnacentral:rRNA from 1 species